rnacentral:lncRNA from 1 species
UCAAGGACCUUAGCGAGCCAGAGACAGUUAUUAGAACUGAGUGGUUCUGAGAACAAGGGGGUCCAGGAGAGGGCAGGACUGCCGGCUGUAGUCUACCUUUGAGCGAGGUCUCCACCAGGCGCAGGUAAAGCUGUGAGUUCUUGUUGCCGUGACUCAUGCGCUGGGCUAACCCGUUGCGCUGUAGGACGCACUCCUCAAACUGCACGAUAUUCUGGUGCCGCCGCUUGAGACUGGUGAGGGCCCAGAAUUCUGCUAGUGCCAACUCCACGUUCUCGGGAGCGUCGCAGCGGAUCUUCUUGACUGCCACCCUGGCCCCACUGCGCCCAGCCACAGCCUCAUAAACCACGCCGUAGCUGCCGCGCCCGAUCUCCGCCAAGAGGCUGUAGCGCGGCCGUGCAGGAACAUCCCCGCCGCCGCCAUCCGGCCGCCGCCGGGCCAGGAAGGCCUCGCCCGGGACCUCGGCCCCAGCCGGAUCCAUGGCCUGGGCCGCCGGCCUCAGCUUCUCGCACAGUACCCGCUGGACUGGGCUUCGCCUUUUCCGCUCCGGGCUUUUUGUCCCUCUGCGGGCUCCGUUCUCUUUCCCCGUUUCCAUGGCUGCGGGGGGCGGGGGGAGCAGCAACGGCGCCGCCCGGGCCCCCCUUGCCUCAUCCCUCCGUCUAGCCCCGAGAUGUGGAGGAGCGGGACCUUGGAUGGUGAUCUAAGGGCGAGAGGGAGAAGUUAAAACCCACCGGGCCGAGAAGGGUAGAUGAGGAACUUAAAGCGUCCGGCGUCCCACCUCCGCCGCCGGUCGCGGCCCCUUUAAGAAGGAGCCACCGUCUCGAAUUGAACGGGGGAAGGGAAAGGAAAGCGGGAAAGACGGAACCACCGGGAAGUACCGAGGGAGGACCGGAAACCGAAGCGCAAACCGUCCCCUCUCGCCGACUUAUCCGUCAGGAGCAGAAAAAAUAAAUAAAGCCGUAGGGAUCGUCCCCAUCGAAGACGGCCGGCUUAAACUUUCCUGGGGCUUAGCCCCCUCUCAACGGCCCCUCCCCACGUCCUACCCGGGCUUCUCCCGGUGUAAACAGUCCCGUGAAUCAAACCCAGGAGAGCCCGGCGGGACGACCCAGACCCCCGGGGACAGCGGGCGAAGGGAAACCGGCUAAAAGAUCGGCUUCCGAGGACGACAGGCGGAGGCCCCGGUGACGCCCCCGGGACUACGGUGGGGCGCCGGGGCUCCCGCUUCGGCCCUCCCUUCCUCCCUCCACUCCCUCUUACCUGGCCGGCGCUGUUCCUCUUCCGGGCGAACCGGUUCCCCCUUGGAGCCCGCGCCGGAGGAUGGUCCGUUCCGAGCCGGGCUUGUCUGCAGAGCCGGGUAGGGCGCGAGGCGGGGAGCCUGGCUGAGCGUGUAGCGCGUCGCGGCGCUGCUCUUGUGAUGACAGCAACGCUCCCGGGGGAGGCCUCGGCUUCCAGGUUCCCGUGGCCGUCCCCGAGUUCACGCCAGCUGAGCACUUUACGUAACCUCUUUAUGUAAGCUGCACCUCCCGCCGCCGCUCUGGUCAGCGGAGAUUCCUGGUGGCCCAUCCCCCAGGAGGCCAGCGGAGAGCCGCGCCGCCUCUCUGCAGCCGAGGUAGACCCAGCCGCCGCGACAGCCCGGAACCAAUCACUGGCGAGAACACCCAGCCAACAAAAAGAGCGCGCCAAAAUCCCGCGAUUUGUACCGAGGGCCUUCGCGAGGCGCCUGCACUCCGCAAACGCCUUUCCGGACUUGACCUGCAUCGUACCUCUACGCCCGCACUCGGCACUUGAUGCUGAUUGGGGGAAUGGCUUAGGUGUAAUCGAUUCACAGCUGAGACCAGGGUUAGAACGCUAAUCUCCACGCCCACUAAUGACCCCAAUGAUCUCAGCCGCACUUAAUCCUCAGUACUGGAGGAGACAGUCAACCUUGUGUCUUCGUAGAUGUCUCACAGUUAAAGUACUUAGAACAGUGUUAAAAUACACACAAGACAGAUUAAAUGUAAUGUAAAACAAUAAACAAGAGUUUCUAGAAUUUCUAUAGCUUUUCUGUAUGUAAGUGGUCACAUAUACACACAAGGUGUAAGAAUAGUAAAGUCUCAUCUUUUUUUUUGCCAGAAUUACAUUGUUUUGCUAUAUUUUCAUGUUCU